AGUACUGGAGUUGGGAGAAGCUGAGGCGUUUUUCGUGCCGCUGGCUGACCGGCCGGCUGGUGGCUUACAUAGCCAGCUAGUGUGUGCUCUACUUUCUUGCGUGUAAUCUCGCACAAAGCUAGCUUGGAGCCGAAUAAUGGAAGCCACGAUGAAGCUCUGCAACGUUGCGACGGUGAGGAGCUCUGUCACCGGCAAGCCCCGCGAGCAGGAGGAAGUGUCCUCUCGGCAUGAAGACCAGAGAGAGCCUGCAGUUAUUAUGCCACCGGGAGCAUCGGUUCACGUGGUUCAUGUCUAGUAUUAGCAUGGUGUUAUCCUGAUUGAGCUUUUUUUUGAUUGAGCUUUUUUUUAAUUUAAGGUUUCUAUUCUUCUUCGUAUCUCUAUAUCGUCGGAUCUUCUUGACCUUGCAAGACCUUUUCUUGACCUUGUAAGACCCAACUCUACCGUCUUUCUUUCCUUCAACUCAAUCUUAACAGUCUUCCACCUCUCUUUUUAUCCUUGCUUCUUCUCUAGCUCUAUCCCUUCUGAGCUGUGGGUUCAACUAUAUGUUUACAUGUUUAGAUAUUAGAUUAUCCCUGGAUUAAUUAUUCUAUGAUAUAAUUAAGUUUGGUGUGAGUAAA